CCUACGGGUGGCAGCAGUGGGGAAUAUUGCACAAUGGGGGAAACCCUGAUGCAGCGACGCCGCGUGAGCGAUGAAGUAUUUCGGUAUGUAAAGCUCUAUCAGCAGGGAAGAAGAUGACGGUACCUGACUAAGAAGCCCCGGCUAACUACGUGCCAGCAGCCGCGGUAAUACGUAGGGGGCAAGCGUUAUCCGGAUUUACUGGGUGUAAAGGGAGCGUAGGCGGCGAUGCAAGGCAGAUGUGAAAGUCGGGGGCUCAACCCCGGGACUGCAGUUGGAACUGUGUGGCUGGAGUGUCGGAGAGGCAGGCGGAAUUCCUAGUGUAGCGGUGAAAUGCGUAGAUAUUAGGAGGAACACCAGUGGCGAAGGCGGCCUGCUGGACGAUGACUGACGUUGAGGCUCGAAAGCGUGGGGAGCGAACAGGAUUAGAUACCCGAGUAGUC
rnacentral:rRNA from 1 species